rnacentral:misc_RNA from 1 species
AACGCACAUUGCGCCCCCUGGUAUUCCGGGGGGCAUGCCUGUUCGAGCGUCAUUGCAACCCUCAAGCUCGGCUUGUGUGAUGGGCGACCGUCCUUCCCCUAGGGGCGGGACGCGUCCGAAAAGCAGUGGCUAGGCCGCGAUUCCGGCGCCUGAGCGAAUGGGACUUCCACCGCUUCUAGGACCGGCCGGCACUUGGCCUCCAAACACGGUCUUAACUGACCAUCUAGGUUGACCUCGGAUCAGGUAGGGAUACCCGCUGAACUUAA